rnacentral:rRNA from 1 species
GUGGGGAAUCUUAGACAAUGGGGGAAACCCUGAUCUAGCCAUGCCGCGUGAGCGAUGAAGGCCUUAGGGUUGUAAAGCUCUUUCAGAGGGGAAGAUAAUGACGGUACCCUCAGAAGAAGCCCCGGCUAACUCCGUGCCAGCAGCCGCGGUAAUACGGAGGGGGCUAGCGUUGUUCGGAAUUACUGGGCGUAAAGCGCACGUAGGCGGACCAGAAAGUCAGGGGUGAAAUCCCGGGGCUCAACCCCGGAACUGCCUUUGAAACUCCUGGUCUUGAGGUCGAGAGAGGUGAGUGGAAUUCCGAGUGUAGAGGUGAAAUUCGUAGAUAUUCGGAGGAACACCAGUGGCGAAGGCGGCUCACUGGCUCGAUACUGACGCUGAGGUGCGAAAGCGUGGGGAGCAAACAGGAUUAGAAACCCGGGUAGUCC